rnacentral:rRNA from 1 species
GACGAACGCUGGCGGCGUGCUUAACACAUGCAAGUCGAACGGUGAGGCCCUUUCGGGGGUACACGAGUGGCGAACGGGUGAGUAACACGUGGGUGAUCUGCCCUGCACUUUGGGAUAAGCCUGGGAAACUGGGUCUAAUACCGGAUAGGACUACGCGAUGCAUGUCGUGUGGUGGAAAGCUUUUGCGGUGUGGGAUGGGCCCGCGGCCUAUCAGCUUGUUGGUGGGGUGAUGGCCUACCAAGGCGACGACGGGUAGCCGGCCUGAGAGGGUGUCCGGCCACACUGGGACUGAGAUACGGCCCAGACUCCUACGGGAGGCAGCAGUGGGGAAUAUUGCACAAUGGGCGCAAGCCUGAUGCAGCGACGCCGCGUGGGGGAUGACGGCCUUCGGGUUGUAAACCCCUUUCAGCACAGACGAAGCGUAAGUGACGGUAUGUGCAGAAGAAGCACCGGCCAACUACGUG